CCUGGCGGCCGUAGCGCGGUGGUCCCACCUGACCCCAUGCCGAACUCAGAAGUGAAACGCCGUAGCGCCGAUGGAGUGUGGGGUCUCCCAUGCGAGAGUAGGGAACUGCCAGGC
rnacentral:rRNA from 1 species